AACGCACCUUGCGCCCCUUGGCAUUCCGAGGGGCACACCCGUUUGAGUGUCGUGAAAUAUCAAAAAACCUUUUUUCUUUAAAGGAUUUUUUUUGGACUUGGAGGUUCCAUGCUCGGUUUUGCUUUUGAAAGCGAGCUCCUCUCAAAUGAAUUAGUGGGGUCCGCUUUGCUGAUCCUUGACGUGAUAAGAUGUUUCUACGUUUUGGAUUUAGCACUGUCCCUUGGACGCCCGCUUCCAAUCGUCCCAUGGACAAUAAUGAUGUGCUCUGGUCAUCGCUGUCUACAUUGGCAGGGAGGGCUGGACACACACAAAAAAGAACCUUGACCUCAAAUCGGGUGAGACUACCCGCUGAACUUAA
rnacentral:misc_RNA from 2 species